AUCACACUGGUUCCUGUUUGAGCACCGUAGUUAAGCAGCAUCGAGCCUGAUCAGUACUUAGAUGGGGGUCCACUUGGCAACACUGAGUACUGUAA